rnacentral:rRNA from 1 species
UACGUAGGCAGCGAGCGUUGUUCGGAAUUACUGGGCGUAAAGAGUGUGUAGGCGGUGUUCCAAGUUCGGUGUGAAAUCUCCCGCUUAACUGGGAGGGUGCGCCGAAAACUGGAAUGCUCGAGCGUGGGAGAGGAAAGCGGAAUUCCUGGUGUAGCGGUGAAAUGCGUAGAUAUCAGGAGGAACACCGGUGGUGUAGACGGCUUUCUGGACCGUAACUGACGCUGAGACACGAAAGCGUGGGUAGCAAACAGG